rnacentral:tRNA from 1 species
CUCUCGGUAGCCAAGUUGGUUUAAGGCGCAAGACUGUAAUUUAUCACUACGAAAUCUUGAGAUCGGGCGUUCGACUCGCCCCCGGAGA